rnacentral:rRNA from 1 species
UACGGAGGGGGCGAGCGUUAUUCGGAAUUAUUGGGCGUAAAGAGCGUGUAGGCGGCUAGAUAGGUCCGUUGUGAAAACUCGAGGCUCAACCUCGAGACGUCGAUGGAAACCAUCUGGCUAGAGUCCGGAAGAGGAGAGUGGAAUUCCUGGUGUAGCGGUGAAAUGCGCAGAUAUCAGGAAGAACACCCGUGGCGAAGGCGGCUCUCUGGUACGUGACUGACGCUGAGACGCGAAAGCGUGGGGAGCAAACAGG